ensembl:snoRNA
CAGCAUGCUAUCCUAAGGAUCUGAGCUCUCUGUGGCUCACGGUUCUCCAAAUGCAUGCGAGAACAUGGGGCGGUCUUUGACUGCUGAGGCCCCUAUGCCUCCAGCAGCCACUCAACCGUCCUACAGGU